UACAGAGGUGGCAAGCGUUGUUCGGAAUUACUGGGCGUAAAGGGCGCGUAGGCGGCCUUCUCAGUCAGACGUGAAAUCCCCCGGCUUAACCUGGGAACUGCGUCUGAUACUGGGAGGCAUGAGUAUGGGAGAGGGAUGUAGAAUUCCAGGUGUAGCGGUGAAAUGCGUAGAUAUCUGGAGGAAUACCGGGGGCGAAGGCGGCAUCCUGGACCAUAACUGACGCUGAGGCGCGAAAGCUAGGGGAGCAAACGGG
rnacentral:rRNA from 1 species